rnacentral:lncRNA from 1 species
CACUAUUAACUUUAACGAAGUAGCUUUGAUGGCGGGGAAGAGACAGCUGAUACUACACUUCCCUAACAAUAAACUACACUGACAGAUAAAAACAAACAUCGUAAAAGAAGGCCAGCUAGAAGAUGCCCAUAAGCCAGGAACUGAUUCCAGGUUGUUGGUAACCAGAGCCGGCAUGUGUGUCUGCUCUGCGACGUGUGUGCAUUUCACAGGAGGCACGGCAGAUGCCUCUGCAGCAGCGCGGUCCGCAGCCUCGUGGCUAGAGCAGGUUUAUGGAAGCCAGCCACUCUGGUCACCAGUCAGUGCUCCUCAGGAAUGUGUUUGGAGGCAACCUUCAGGGAAAGCUCCAUUUGGGUUCCAGAUUGAUGAGAGUUGCAUAGUCAGCAACCCAUUUGUGAGGGCUUGCGGAGAUCUUAUGGAAUAACCUGAAGCAGGCAAGGCUGUGCUUAAUCUGGGAGCUUGAUAGCUGGGGAGAACCACCAGGUUUGUCAGGGAUCCUCAGUAAAUGCCGCUGAAAUUGAUCCCACCUCUCUGGAGGUAAGUUUAAUAGAGUGAUUUACACCCUGUGUCAUUUUCUUCAUACCUGGAUCUCCUGGAGCUGUUGUGAAGACUGGCAUGGACCCCAGAAAUGGGAGAGCUUCUAUGGGAAGAGAAGGGAAGUGUGAUUCUGAAACUCUGAUCCUCAAACCUUCAGUGGGCAGCCACUGCAUGUUGGCAUCCUGUUUGGUGAGGGUACUCAGAGUCUUUUUAUGA